CACUAAUUACCCUUGUGACCAGCGGAAAUUUAAUUUUAUUUUCUGUUCCUUCUUUUCUUCAAAAGAAGCCAAUUCCACUACCGACUUAACGACUCUGUUAUCAUUAGAUUCGGUGACCAGCAACAGCAUUGGCGGCGGCCAUUUCGAAGGGUCUAUUCAUCAAUUCAUCUCUUCAUUUAUCUUCUACGGAUACCAAAG
ensembl:ncRNA F33G12.8 ncRNA